rnacentral:rRNA from 1 species
GACGAACGCUGGCGGCGUGCUUAACACAUGCAAGUCGAACGGAAAGGCCCUGCUUUUGUGGGGUGCUCGAGUGGCGAACGGGUGAGUAACACGUGAGUAACCUGCCCUUGACUUUGGGAUAACUUAAGGAAACUGGGGCUAAUACCGGAUAGCAGCUCCUGCUGCAUGGUGGGGGUUGGAAAGUUUCGGCGGUUGGGGAUGGACUCGCGGCUUAUCAGCUUGUUGGUGGGGUAGGGGCUUACCAAGGCUUUGACGGGUAGCCGGCCUGGGAGGGUGACCGGCCACCUUGGGACUGCGGUACGGCCCAGACUCCUACGUGAGGCAGCAGUGGGGAAUAUUGCACAGUGGGCGGAAGCCUGAUGCAGCAACGCCGCGUGCGGGAUGACGGCCUUCGGGUUGUAAACCGCUUUCGCCUGUGACGAAGCGUGAGUGACGGUAAUGGGUAAAGAAGCACCGGCUAACUACGUG